rnacentral:rRNA from 1 species
GUGGGGAAUCUUGCGCAAUGGGCGAAAGCCUGACGCAGCCAUGCCGCGUGGAUGAUGAAGGUCUUAGGAUUGUAAAAUCCUUUCACCGGUGAAGAUAAUGACUGUAGCCGGAGAAGAAGCCCCGGCUAACUUCGUGCCAGCAGCCGCGGUAAUACGAAGGGGGCUAGCGUUGCUCGGAUUUACUGGGCGUAAAGGGCGCGUAGGCGGACAUUUAAGUCAGGGGUGAAAUCCCGGGGCUCAACCUCGGAACUGCCUUUGAUACUGGGUGUCUUGAGUAUGAGAGAGGUGUGUUGAACUCCGAGUGUAGAGGUGAAAUUCGUAGAUAUUCGGAAGAACACCAGUGGCGAAGGCGACACACUGGCUCAUUACUGACGCUGAGGCGCGAAAGCGUGGGGAGCAAACAGGAUUAGAAACCCUGGUAGUCC